rnacentral:rRNA from 1 species
UACAGAGGGGGCAAGCGUUGUUCGGAAUUACUGGGCGUAAAGGGCGCGUAGGCGGCCGCUUAAGUCGAACGUGAAAUCCCCGGGCUCAACCCGGGAACUGCGUCCGAUACUGGGCGGCUUGAAUUCGGGAGAGGGAUGCGGAAUUCCAGGUGUAGCGGUGAAAUGCGUAGAUAUCUGGAGGAACACCGGUGGCGAAGGCGGCAUCCUGGACCGACAUUGACGCUGAGGCGCGAAAGCCAGGGGAGCAAACGGG